UAUUGUAUGUUGUAUUUGCAGU
rnacentral:miRNA from 2 species